rnacentral:rRNA from 1 species
UACGUAGGGGGCAAGCGUUGUCCGGAUUUACUGGGCGUAAAGAGCGCGUAGGCGGCCAUUUAAGUUAGACGUGAAAGCCCUGGGCUUAACCUAGGAACUGCGUUUAAUACUGGAUGGCUAGAGUAUGGUAGAGGAAAGCGGAAUUCCUAGUGUAGAGGUGAAAUUCGUAGAUAUUAGGAAGAACACCAGAGGCGAAGGCGGCUUUCUGGACCAUUACUGACGCUGAGGCGCGAAAGCGUGGGGAGCAAACAGG